CUGGCACUGCAGGGGCUGGGAGGGAUUUUCCAGCCCCAGGAUUUGGGGAUUUGGGGACUCCCUGUGUGGGAUCCGAGGGAUGCUGGCCAUGGGGAGCUGGUGCCAUCUCUGCCGCUGCGCGUGGCAGCUCUGAGGGUUUUGCAGGAGGGACGAGGCAGCAAUGAGGAGCCUUCAGCACUCCAGGCGCUUCGUUCAAUGGGGUUCAGCUCCCUCAGUUGUUCAGGUUUUGCUGCUGUUAGAACGCAGACAAGCCACCAAAAUUAGUAAAGUGUAAAUUAGGUUGUUAGAACGUAGAUAAAUAGACUUUUGGGAAUGUUUGUGAUAAGGGACACGUGGCCAGGAUGGAGGAUUUGGGGUAUGGAUACCUCUUCCUCCUCCUUCUCCGUGCCACCCAUGCUGGGUGACACGCUGGCACUUUUAGAUUGGAUGGGGUCAGAGCUGGACCGUGUAACAAGAUUGUAUUGUAUCGGAAAAUUGUUAUAAACAUUUAGUAGGUAAUUUAGAUUAUAUAAGAUCAGCCCUGCCUUCACCAGGCAGAUUCCAUCCUGGGUGCCCGGCUGAGGAGAUCGCUGCGAGCCGGGCAAAGAGUUCCUGAGACAAGAAACAACGAACAGCCCGUGAAGGCUCUGAAAACCACCUCCUGCAAUCUCUCUUCGGCUGCUUUGGGAAAAACCAGGAUUUAAACACCGCAUGUCCUUGUGAGGAGAUCUCGGGUCUAAGGAGAAACCUCGGGCCGGGACAGUGGUGCCCAGGGAGGGGGAGCAGCCCGGCCAGGGGGUGUGUGGAGGGGGAGGCGCUGCGGGUUCCUCAUCCAGCGGGGUGUGACCAAAGCUGCCCCCAGCAACCCCCGACUGCCGGAGGGGCCUUUGGGGGGCUCGGGCAGAGCCAUGGGCACAGCCUGGGGGGCGCCUGUUCGGGGGAAGGGGGGCAAAGCACAGCUCACCCACCGCUCUGUGCCGCUGAUCGCCCCAAAACCGGGGUACCAAUCACUGCAGGGGUACAACCGCCCCAAAACCGGGGUACCAAUCACUGUGGAUGUUACAGUCACCCCAAAACCGGGGUACCAAUCACUGUGAGUGUUAUAACCACCCCAAACCCGGGUUACCAAUCACUGCAGGGGUACAACCACCCCAAACCCGAGGUACCAAUCACUGCAGGGGUUACAAUCACCCCAAAACAUCCCUAUCGCUGUCCCAUCCCUGUCCCUGUUCCUGCUCUUGUCCCUGUCCACUUCCUGUCCUCGUCCUUCUGCCAUCCUCAUCCCCUUCCCCGUCCCUGUCCCUGUCCCCUCCCUGUCCCCUCCCUGUCCCCUCCCUGUCCGCUCCCUGUCCCUGCCCCCCCCCCCCCCCCCCCCCCCCCCCCCCCCCCCCCCCCCCCCCCCCCCCCCCCCCCCCCCCCCCCCCCCCCCCCCCCCCCCCCCCCCCC
rnacentral:lncRNA from 1 species